AUGCAAGACUACUUCGCAGAAAAUCCAACAUAUCCACCACACCUCUUUCGGAGAAGGUACCGAAUGCGCCGAUCCCUCUUUGUGAAAAUUGUUCAAGCUUGCGAGGCAAAUUGUCGGUAUUGCAGUCAAAGAAGAAAUGCUGCGGGCUUAGGAUUUAGUGCAUAUCAAAAAAUCUCCGCAGCUAUGCGGGUGAUUGCAUAUGGCAUUCCGGCUGACUAUGCCGAUGAGUACCUUCGCAUUGGUGAAGAUACCACAAUUGAGUCAGUGCGUAGAUUUGCCAAAAUGAUCAUCCGUGUCUUUGUUGUAUUGCGUUGGUAUUGUAAUUUGUGCUGUGGUAUUGAUAUUUGCGGACCGGUGGCAGCGGCGCAAGAGCAGAUCACACAAAACCGACCCGUAAAAAGGUAUAUUCCGUGA
rnacentral:rRNA from 1 species